rnacentral:hammerhead_ribozyme from 1 species
AUCCAGCUGACGAGUUUCAAAUAGGACGAAACGCAUGUCCUGGAU